rnacentral:rRNA from 1 species
GACGAACGCUGGCGGCGUGCCUAAUACAUGCAAGUAGAACGCACAGUUUAUACCGUAGCUUGCUACACCAUAGACUGUGAGUUGCGAACGGGUGAGUAACGCGUAGGUAACCUGCCUGGUAGCGGGGGAUAACUAUUGGAAACGAUAGCUAAUACCGCAUAAUAUUAAUUAUUGCAUGAUAAUUAAUUGAAAGGUGCAAUUGCACCACUACCAGAUGGACCUGCGUUGUAUUAGCUAGUAGGUGAGGUAACGGCUCACCUAGGCGACGAUACAUAGCCGACCUGAGAGGGUGAUCGGCCACACUGGGACUGAGACACGGCCCAGACUCCUACGGGAGGCAGCAGUAGGGAAUCUUCGGCAAUGGACGAAAGUCUGACCGAGCAACGCCGCGUGAGUGAAGAAGGUUUUCGGAUCGUAAAGCUCUGUUGUAAGAGAAGAAUGGGUGUGAGAGUGGAAAGUUCACACUGUGACGGUAGCUUACCAGAAAGGGACGGCUAACUACGUG